rnacentral:rRNA from 1 species
GACAGAGGUGCCGAGCGUUAGGCGGAAUCACUGGGCUUAAAGCGUGUGUAGGCGGAUGGGUAAGUACCUUGUGAAAUCCCACGGCUCAACCGUGGAACUGCUCGGUAUACUGCUCGUCUUGAGCCAGCUAGGGGCGACCGGAACAAACGGUGGAGCGGUGAAAUGCGUAGAUAUCGUUUGGAACGCCGAUGGUGAAAACAGGUCGCUGGGGUUGUGCUGACGCUGAGACACGAAAGCCAGGGGAGCGAACGGG